rnacentral:rRNA from 1 species
CCUACGGGUGGCAGCAGUCGGGAAUCUUGCGCAAUGGGCGCAACCCUGACCCAGCAACGCCGCGUGAAGGAAGAAGGCUUUCGGGUUGUAAACUUCUUUUAAUAGGGAAGAGCAUAAGACGGUACCUCUUGAAUAAGCCACGGCUAACUACGUGCCAGCAGCCGCGGAAAUACGUAGGUGGCAAGCGUUGUCCGGAAUGACUGGGUGUAAAGGGCGUGCAGCCGGGAUGACAAGUCAGAUGUGAAAGCCCGGGGCUCAACCGCGGAACUGCAUGUGAAACUGUUUUUCUAGAGUACCGGAGAGGUAAGCGGAAGUCUGGGUGUAGCGGUGAAAUGCGUAGAUAUAAGGAAGAACACUCGUGGCGAAGGCGGAUGACUGGACGGUAACUGACGGUGAGGCGCGAAAGCGUGGGGAGCAAACAGGAUUAGAUACCCUAGUAGUC